CAGAGAGCUUCACAAACACCGCUCAGUUUCCCACUCGCAACGCCGACUUCCCUCAGCUUCGCCCGUCCUUCUAACGCCCACCGCGUAAGAAACGCGCCUCAGACGCUGCGCUUGCUUUGCCCCAGUGGCUGCGGAGCGACUCAGCGGAAGGCUCAGACCUGGGGUCGGUGGUAGGCGGCGGAGCACCUCUCCCCUGAGGCCUGACCAUACAUCCCCCGUAGCAACCGCCCCACCGCCGCCCUGCUACACCCCGCGCCCGCAGCGCGUACCGCGACUGCAGGCACCGCCUUCGCCGCCGGUGCCUUACGCCGGUACGUCGGGAGAGGGGUGAGGUUCAGGCCGGGCCUCUCUGUUCGCAGCCCGCUGGGAGAUGUAACUCGUCCCGAAGGCCGGGGAGUAGCAGCUGAGGCCCUUCUCCUCUCGCAACAAGCUAAGCGGCGCAGCCUGGCCGCCUCCACGGCCACCACAGGUUGAGACGAGCAUCCAGAGAGGCACGAAGCCAUUACUGCCCUUGAGAUGGAGAGUUAGUACGUGCUGCUCCCCAUCGCUGACAGAGCCGGUAACUCCCAACCCACUCUGCCCUGGCACGCCGGUGUUCAGCACUGACCGAAAAAUGGGCAGUGAGGACUGAGUGAUGGGGUCGUCCGGGCUACGAAGCACAGAUCAUCACAGUGUUACAGGCUUCAGCCCAGCAAACACUAAGUCACUGUUGUCAUGCCAGAAUUAGGACACGGCCGGGCAGCAACAACUGACUGGAACCACGCGUGAACUUCCUAACUGGCUCCUCACCCAAUCUCAGCAGCACGAACUCCACUACAGCAGACUGACUUCAGAGAAACAUAUUCCCAGUGCUCCACUUCUCCAGCUGCUCUCCUGUGCAGCAGAACUACAUGCCUAGCAGAAGGAACACGCCGAGAAAGCAUGUAACAGUGGGAGGGACUCUUCGUUGGAGGAAGACUGUGAGAAAUGCUUCUCCCUGAGGAAGGAGUGGCAGAAAUCAACCUGUGGCAAAUGGACUGUAAACCUCACUCCCUGUACUUCUAUGCAGCUUGGAGGGGAAGGAGGUAGAGAUACCGGGAACAGAAGGGUCUGAGAAGAAGAGAGGGAAUGGUAAAGUAUUUAAGCUCUGGUUUGU